CUUCUUUAUACUUCAUUGAUCUUGAGCAUUUGCCUAGCCUACAAUGUUUUUAUUCAGGAAGUGACGUUUUGGAAUGUCCGUCCUUGGAAGAUAUAUCUGCAGUUGACUGUCCAAAGAUGAAGAUACUUGCUUCCACAUUUUCAAGAGAACAAGAUUCAAGCAUGAAUGUAGAGGAAAACAAAGAAAGAAUUUGCGAAGGAGAUUCUGAUUUGCCUGCACCACACGUUUUCAAUGGCAAGGUUGCAGUCCAAAGGUUACACACACUGAGGGUGGCAUGGAGCGAGUUGAUGGAGAUAUGGUGUCACAAAUUUCAAUCUAAGUCCUUUCAUAAGCUUGGUUACAUUAAGCUGACGUGCUUUCCUGGCGAAAGUGCAAUUUUAUCAUCUGAUUUUUUUCAAAGGUUACCCAAUCUAAGGGCACUUGCUCUUUCUGAUUCUUUAAUUGAAGAAAUAUUCCUGCACCAAGUGAGAACUGAUGAGCAUAGAUAUCUUGCGUUCCUAAAGCUUUCUAAACUACCAAAGCUCAAGCACUUGGCGGAGAAUGACUACUCGCA
rnacentral:misc_RNA from 1 species